CUUAGCCACAAGAAGGUGACCAAGACAACUACCAUUCCAAGGAUGAUAAAGCAGUGAAUGAUUUUGCAUUAAUUAUCUUGCUUUGUAUAUUUUGUGCCUGUUCUUAAAACUUAUCCAGUUUUAGAAUUCAUUCUUCAAAUUUAGAGAGAUGCCCUACCUAGGUCCUGAGUCGCACAGAACACGCCGAAUCAGCACGCUGCAGACAGGCAGGUCUGUGCACGCCCUACGGAGGUCCUGAGUUGAGCGGAAGACACCGAAUCACACCGCUGCAGACAGGCAGCCAUCUGAUUCCACACUACAAAGACACAGAGGACACCAGACCACCAGACCAAGGUACUGAGUCCCACUGUUCUCAGCCCAGAGGUAGGGGCUUCUGAGCCGCCAUCCCACUGC
ensembl:lncRNA